GUUUUGAAGAAACUACGUCUUAGCUUGUGACUCAGUUCUUGAAUCGAUUUCCAUAUACAUAAAUAGCUCUUGC
rnacentral:sRNA from 1 species